CUUCCUUGUGCGCUUCAAGAAGGUCAUUUAUGUCAGUUGCAGAGAUGUCCAGGUCCAAUUUGUUGGCAAGUGUAACGAUUGCUUCUGUGUUCUGUUGUACAAUUUCUGCUGGUUCUUCAAACCUUUCAAUAUUAGUACCAAACAACUAAUGGCAGAGCUUUUUCCAAACACCUUUCAUGGUUGUCUCUGAAAUUUUGUUCCAGG